rnacentral:rRNA from 1 species
GACGAACGCUGGCGGCGUGCCUAAUACAUGCAAGUAGAACGCUGAAGAGAGGAGCUUGCUCUUCUUGGAUGAGUUGCGAACGGGUGAGUAACGCGUAGGUAACCUGCCUUGUAGCGGGGGAUAACUAUUGGAAACGAUAGCUAAUACCGCAUAACAAUGGAUGACACAUGUCAUUUAUUUGAAAGGGGCAAUUGCUCCACUACAAGGUGGACCUGCGUUGUAUUAGCUAGUAGGUGAGGUAAUGGCUCACCUAGGCGACGAUACAUAGCCGACCUGAGAGGGUGAUCGGCCAAACUGGGACUGAGACACGGCCCAGACUCCUACGGGAGGCAGCAGUAGGGAAUCUUCGGCAAUGGGGGCAACCCUGACCGAGCAACGCCGCGUGAGUGAAGAAGGGUUUCGGAUCGUAAAGCUCUGUUGUAAGUCAAGAACGGGUGUGAGAGUGGAAAGUUCACACUGUGACGGUAGCUUACCAGAAAGGGACGGCUAACUACGUG